CUUACCAUGCAGUCGAGCGAGAAUUCUUUCCAAAGUCUUCGGACAGAGGAAGGGAUAGACAGCGGCGGACGGGUGAGUAACGCGUGGGGAACCUGCCUCGUACCGGGGGAUAACAGUUGGAAACAGCUGCUAAUACCGCAUAAGCGCACAGCAUCGCAUGAUGCCGUGUGAAAAACUCCGGUGGUAUGAGAUGGACCCGCGUUGGAUUAGCUAGUUGGCAGGGCAAAGGCCUACCAAGGCAACGAUCCAUAGCCGGCCUGAGAGGGCGACCGGCCACAUUGGGACUGAGACACGGCCCAGACUCCUACGGGAGGCAGCAGUGGGGAAUCUUGCACAAUGGGCGAAAGCCUGAUGCAGCGACGCCGCGUGAGUGAAGAAGUAUUUCGGUAUGUAAAGCUCUAUCAGCAGGGAAGAAAAUGACGGUACCUGACUAAGAAGCCCCGGCUAACUACGUGCCAGCAGCCGCGGUAAUACGUAGGGGGCAAGCGUUAUCCGGAUUUACUGGGUGUAAAGGGAGCGUAGACGGACCGGCAAGUCUGAAGUGAAAUUCCAGGGCUCAACCCUGGGACUGCUUUGGAAACUGCAGAUCUUGAGUACCGGAGGGGUAAGCGGAAUUCCUAGUGUAGCGGUGAAAUGCGUAGAUAUUAGGAAGAACACCAGUGGCGAAGGCGGCUUACUGGACGGUAACUGACGUUGAGGCUCGAAAGCGUGGGUAGCAAACAGGAUUAGAUACCCUGGUAG
rnacentral:rRNA from 1 species